AUUUUUUUAGAUGAUUUAUUAAUAUUUUAUUCAAAAAUAACCUUUAUUAUUACCUAAUAUCCUUAUAAGAAAUUAAAAUUGUUUUAUUUUAUUUUAUGAAUAAAUUAAAUAUUAUUGUGCCCUUUAUUUCUGGACAGCUGAAAAUGGCUACCAUUGAUAUAAUAUUUGAAAUCCACAAUGGUCAAUCCCACAAAAUCCCUAUGCUACUGGAUAAAUGGAUUAGGCCAUCUGAAUUAUAUGGAAGUUAAGAAUAAUGAUGGUCAACCCUAAAGUAAUCGUGAAAAAGGCUAGGAAAAAGAAGACUGUUCACUUGAAGCUACCUAGAUUAAAAUUGCAUUACUGUAAUAUGGUAUAAUUUAUAUUAUAAUGAAUUUUUCAGGAUAAUUUUAAUAUUUAAUAACUUAAAAAUGUAUAUGGUGAAAACUUACUCUACAAAUAAUUAUAAUUGUAUUAAUAUUUUCUCAGUAUUAUCAAAUAAUUACUUAUUUUAGAUCUUAUAAAAUAAAAUAUUUUUCCUAGAAAAUUUUUAAAAAGAAGUGUUUAGUUUGUAAAUAUAAAAUAAAACAAUAUUUCUUCUGAGUAAAUAAACAAAAAAAAAC